CAGCUUCCUAAUACAUACCUUGGACAAUAAAGGAAGGGCACAGGGUCAAGUGAGGUCACCUCGCAGCACGGCUUCUGCAGGAGAACCAGUACGAGAACAUCACCAUCGAUAUCAACAUCAACCUCAACCUCAACAUCACUUUAUCCUUGGCAGAACUGACCUGUGAGGGAGGAUCCAGAGCUGGUGGAUCAUCAUCUCUGCAAUUAAACAUGCGCUGAUUCUGCUGGGACACGCACACACUGCACUGGACGAAGGUGAAGCUGUCUGGGUAAAUGAUCCACUGAUCCCAGCCCAGAUCUGAGAUAUAUAAAGGAGUAAGCACCAUAUUACGACAUGCUAAGAUAAGGGAUCAGGAACGGCUUCAUAAGUGACAUUUUGUGAAGGGAAUUAACUUUUAAAUUCUUAAGUGACGCAUCUUGUGAUACACAUCAUUAACUUUAACAUUAACGAACCUUUUAUGAAAACCUGAGAGGCAAACUUGCAACACUGGAGCUGUGUUGAAUUCCCAGAACUGGAUGAUGAUGUUGAUGAUAGGGAUGAUGAUGAUGAUGAUAAGGAUGAUGAUGAUGAUGGUUGUGUGUUGUCUAUAAGAAAAAAAAAAGCACAGAAUGAAUAAAAUAUGUUCA